rnacentral:rRNA from 1 species
ACUCAAAUGAAUAGACGGGGGCCCGCACAAGCGGUGGAGCAUGUGGUUUAAUUCGAUGCAACGCGAAGAACCUUACCUACUCUUGACAUACUGCGAACCAUGCUGAGAGGCGUGGGUGCCGAAAGGAGCGUAGUAACAGGUGCUGCAUGGCUGUCGUCAGCUCGUGUUGUGAGAUGUUGGGUUAAGUCCCGUAACGAGCGCAACCCUUGUCCUUAGUUGCUACAGGUAAAGCUGAGCACUCUAAGGAGACUGCCGGUUAUUGCCGGAGGAAGGUGGGGACGACGUCAAGUCAUCAUGGCCUUUAUGAGUAGGGCCACACACGUGCUACAAUGGGGCGUACAGAGGGUAGCGAAACUGCGAAGUGGAGCCAAUCUCUUAAAGCGUCUCGUAGUCCGGAUUGGAGUCUGCAACUCGACUCCAUGAAGUUGGAAUCGCUAGUAAUCGCGAAUCAGAACGUCGCGGUGAAUACGUUCCCGGGCCUUGUACACACCGCCCGU